rnacentral:antisense_RNA from 1 species
CUUGGCGGAGCCGAGCCACACCGGGUCGUCCCCGGGGCGGUCCUUGCCGUACGUGGCGAGCAGGGCCUGCGCCUC